rnacentral:rRNA from 1 species
UACGUAGGGUGCGAGCGUUGUCCGGAAUUAUUGGGCGUAAAGAGCUCGUAGGCGGUGUGUCACGUCGGCCGUGAAAACCUGCAGCUUAACUGUGGGCGUGCGGUCGAUACGGGCAUCACUGGAGUUCGGCAGGGGAGACUGGAAUUCCUGGUGUAGCGGUGAAAUGCGCAGAUAUCAGGAGGAACACCGGUGGCGAAGGCGGGUCUCUGGGCCGAUACUGACGCUGGAGGAGCGAAAAGCCGUGGGGGAGCAAACAGG